GUGUGUGGCUAAACCUUCUUGCCAAAGCCUGAUCUGGUCAAAUCUUAGAAGCUAUUCAGGGCUGGGCCUGGUUAGUACUUGGUUGGGAAACAACUGGGAAUAUCAGGUGCCACAGGAG
rnacentral:rRNA from 1 species